GUCGAGGUAGCCUAGCCUGGUAUGGCGCAGGUUUGCUAAACCUGUGCUCCUUCGGAGCUCGUGGGUUCGAAUCCCACCCUCGCCGC
rnacentral:tRNA from 1 species